rnacentral:siRNA from 1 species
UGCUAAGUACAUGGGCUC